rnacentral:ncRNA from 3 species
ACCCUGUUGAGCUUGACUC